UCACUGUGGUGACGAUGACGAUGAUGAUGAUGAUGAUGAUGAUUAUCAUCAUCAUCAUCAUCAUCAUCAUCACCAUCAUCAUUAUUA
rnacentral:pre_miRNA from 1 species